CCUACGGGUGGCUGCAGUGGGGAAUAUUGGACAAUGGGGGGAACCCUGAUCCAGCCAUGCCGCGUGUGUGAAGAAGGCCCUCGAGUUGUAAAGCACUUUCAGUGAGGAAGAACGCCUGGUGGUUAAUACCCAUCAGGAAAGACAUCACUCACAGAAGAAGCACCGGCUAACUCCGUGCCAGCAGCCGCGGUAAUACGGAGGGUGCGAGCGUUAAUCGGAAUUACUGGGCGUAAAGCGCGCGUAGGUGGCUUGAUAAGCCGGUUGUGAAAGCCCCGGGCUCAACCUGGGAACGGCAUCCGGAACUGUCAAGCUAGAGUGCAGGAGAGGAAGGUAGAAUUCCCGGUGUAGCGGUGAAAUGCGUAGAGAUCGGGAGGAAUACCAGUGGCGAAGGCGGCCUUCUGGACUGACACUGACACUGAGGUGCUAAAGCGUGGGUAGCAAACAGGAUUAGAUACCCUAGUAGUC
rnacentral:rRNA from 1 species